rnacentral:rRNA from 1 species
AUAGGUGGCAAGCGUUGUCCGGAAUUAUUGGGCGUAAAGCGCGCGCAGGCGGUUCUUUAAGUCUGAUGUGAAAGCCCACGGCUCAACCGUGGAGGGUCAUUGGAAACUGGAGAACUUGAGUACAGAAGAGGAAAGCGGAAUUCCACGUGUAGCGGUGAAAUGCGUAGAGAUGUGGAGGAACACCAGUGGCGAAGGCGGCUUUCUGGUCUGUAACUGACGCUGAGGCGCGAAAGCGUGGGGAGCAAACAGGAUUAGAUACCCUGGUAGUCCACGCCGUAAACGAUGAGUGCUAAGUGUUAGGGGGUUUCCGCCCCCCUUAGUGCUGCAGCUAACGCAUUAAGCACUCCGCCCCGGGGAGUACGGCCGCAAGGCUG